UACGGGGGGGGCAAGCGUUGUUCGGAAUUACUGGGCGUAAAGGGCUCGUAGGCGGCCCACUAAGUCAGACGUGAAAUCCCUCGGCUUAACCGGGGAACUGCGUCUGAUACUGGAGGGCUUGAGUUUGGGAGAGGGAUGCGGAAUUCCAGGUGUAGCGGUGAAAUGCGUAGAUAUCUGGAGGAACACCGGUGGCGAAGGCGAGUCUCUGGACAGUUACUGACGCUGAGGCACGAAGGCCAGGGGAGCAAACGGG
rnacentral:rRNA from 1 species